UCUCCGUUGGUGAACAGCGGAGGGAUCAUUACAGGACUCGCAAGACUCCUACAACCCUGUGAACUUAACUAUAAGCACGUUGCUUCGGCGGGUGUCUCGGAGGGGGUUCUCCCUCCCCGAGACGCUAAACCCGCCGGCAGCCUACUAUACUCUGUCUCUUUGCGUUGGCAUCUCGAGUACAAUCAAACAAGUUAAAACUUUCAACAACGGAUCUCUUGGUUCUG
rnacentral:misc_RNA from 1 species